CAUAGAAUACCUUUUGUUCACUGGAAACAGGCAGUACCAAUGCUGUUGCUAAUGGAAGGAUUUACGACGAUAAAUUGGAAUUAAACUGAGUUAGUAUAAUUGAACGCACCUACAUAACCUGUAAUCUACGUCUUAUAAAUAUCGAUGGAAGUAUUAUCAUCUUUGGAUCUUCCGGCGAUUUCGCUCAGUAAUGAUUAUGUCAUCUUGUCUUCGCUCUUCGAGAAGACGAGUCGACUUUUUUGCUAUCCGUAAACGAAGACAACGCCUGAAGAAUAAUAAAUGAAUAUGGAGACAGUGGAUCAAAAAGGCUUGGAAUAUGCAAAAGCGGAGCCCCACUCAUGUUAUUCUCUUGAGAUUGGAAAAGAUUCAUUUGUGGAAAGAGUCACAAAGAAACAAAAAAUAAGGAUUGGAAACUUGGACUCUCCACAACCUCCCUUUAUACUUGAAAGGUGCAAUUUCUGUGAUGUUCUGUGUUUUGCGUGUUGGCUCAUUUCACCAUCAGUGUAUUUCUUCGUUGUCAACGUUUAGGAAUAGAACUGGAGCACCCUACUCCCUACUGUCUACAAUAAUCCUGGAGGUUAGCAGUUGUUUAUUAUUUUGACGGUAAUUUUCACAAUAAUGGCGAUCCUUGGGAUCUAUGGUUUCUCUUCUAUCAUCUAUUGGCCUUAGCAUAAAUUGAUGAUAGCGUGCAUCUAAGGUAGUCUAGGAACUAUCUAUUGUUCACAUCAUUGGAUUAUCCAACAAAUGAAAGAGACUAAAGUGGUGUUGUCUUUUGUGAACUAUAUAUUCUUGAUUUGCUGUUUUCGUCUCCAGCUUGCAACAUCAUGAAGUUAAUUUUCCACUGAUAAAUGAGAGCAACAGGAGAUUUACUGAAACAACAUUUUGUGCUGUGGUAUUCCUUCUGGAUUUAGUCUGCAUUUCACAUCUGCAAACUUUAAAAAGUUACAGUCUACAAUUAAUUAAGGUGGGAAUACUUGAUAUAAUUAAUUUUAAUCGCUCUUUAUUAAUCUGUUUGCCACCGU